UGUCCCUGAGUAGCCAGCCACUUGAAGGGUCCUUAAAGCCAGCUUGCUUUGUUUUAAUAAACUUAACUUCAAGAAGAAAUCUCAGGGUCAGAGAGAUGGCUCAGCAGUUAAGCGCAUUUGUGGCUCUUACAGAGGACUUGGGUUUGGUUCCCAGCACCGUUGUUGGUCAAUCGUGUGGUGCCCAACUACGCACCCAAUGAAGAGGGGCACGGUGCCCUCUUCUGGCCUCUGUGGGUAACUACACUCAUGUGUAUGCACUCCUGUUUCAUCCAAAAAUAGAAACUUUUUUGAGACAAGGCCUUGCUAUGUAUCUCUGGUGUCCUAGAACUUGCUGGAUAGACUAGACUGUCCUCGAACUCACAGAGAUCUACCUGCCUGAGUCCUGGGAUUGAAGACAUGUGCCACCAUACCUAACAAAAGAUGAAAAUAAAUCUUUUUGUUUGUUUGUUUUUCAGAGACAGGGGUUCUUUUGUGCAGUCCUGGCUGUCUUGGAACUUGCUCUGUAGAUCAGGCUGGCCUUGAACUCACAGAGAUCCACCUGCCUCUGCCUCCAUAUUGCAGGGAUUAAAGGUAUACACCACCGCCACCUAGUCAUUAAAAUAAAUUAAAAAAAAAGAAGUUUGAUAUGAUUAUGGUAACUGAAAAAUUGGUCAGAGCAUAUCUUUUUCAUGGUAAUUACCUGGGGACAGUUUAGAGGGGAAAGGUUUAUUUUGGUUCAUAGUUCCCACUCUAUAGGGGGGCUGACUCCAUGGCUUAUAGGGUCCUGGCUAAGAAGAAUCUCAUAGCAGGCAGGUGAAUGUGACUGGAAAGGAUACCACCUCAUGGCAGCUGGAAAGGAGCAGGUUCAGGAGCUGGACAGGCACUAGUUCACAAGAGCACAUUCCUCAGGGACCUGCUUCCUCAACAGAGGCCCACCCCCCUCACCUCCCCACGCCCACUCCCCCCCACCCAUGCCUCCCAGCCAUACCAUCAGAAUCAGUGCACCAAAGACUGAAUCCAUAGGUCGGGUCAGAGCCUCAAGGCUGGAGGAGGAAGCAUUUGGGGGAUACAUUGUAUCAGGCCAUCACACUUGGUCUAAACUUAAGUAGCCAAGGUAGGGGCGACACCUGAGAUUCUGCAGAGUCUUGGAAAGGAGUCAUUGGCCCUUCUUCUGAAUGGAAACACAGUCUUGUGGAGCUGAGAGAGAAGCUCCCAAGCCAGAUGUGGGCAGGGUUGUUUUUGUUUUGAUCUGUUGCUGGUGCCAUUGUGAACUUCUGUCUUAGUCACUCUUCCAUAGCUGUGAAGAGACUCUGUGACCAAGGCAACCCUCAGAAAGAAAACAUUUAACUGGAGAUUUGCUUAUUGUUUCAGAGGGUGAGUACACGAUCAUCAUGACGGAAGCAGACAGGCACCGCGCUGGAGCAUCCCCUGAGAGAGAGGCAGAGAGAGGCUGGGCUUGGCAUAGGCUUUUGAGACCUCAAAGUCCACUUCCAUUGGCACAUAUCCUCCGAGCUCCACUAACUGAGGACAAACCAUUUCAACGUAGGAGCCUAUGGGGGCCAUUCUCAUUUAAAUCGCCACAACAUCCAAGAUUGCAUCUAAUCUCUGAAGAUAGCAAUGGCUGUCCUUUAACAGAGAGCAAACUGGAACAAACUGGAACAACGAUAUUCUGAGAAACCUUCAUGUCUAAAAGCCACUUUCAGAUCCAUUUGUGACCCGCUGAGUCCGGACAGAGAAGUUAGACAUAAAUAAUGUGAUUAUUAUUCCCAGUCACCCUCCAGCGACUCAUUGUACUCACUGGGAAACUCUCCCCUCCCUCUUUAUUAAUGUCUUUGGCAUAAUCCCCAAGAUACUUCUUUGUGGCUCUCAGAACCAAUCACGCCUUUCAAUGCUAAA